rnacentral:rRNA from 1 species
UGGGGAAUAUUGCACAAUGGAGGGAACUCUGAUGCAGCGACGCCGCGUGAACGAAGAAGGCUUUCGAGUCGUAAAGUCCUUUUAUAUGGGAAGAUAAUGACGGUACCAUAAGAAAAAGCCCCGGCUAACUACGUGCCAGCAGCCGCGGUAAUACGUAGGGGCUAGCGUUGUCCGGAAUCACUGGGCGUAAAGGGUUCGCAGGCGGAAAUGCAAGUCAGGUGUAAAAGGCAGUAGCUUAACUACUGUAAGCAUUUGAAACUGCAUAUCUUGAGAAGAGUAGAGGUAAGUGGAAUUUUUAGUGUAGCGGUGAAAUGCGUAGAUAUUAAAAAGAAUACCGGUGGCGAAGGCGACUUACUGGGCUCAUUCUGACGCUGGGGAACGAAAGCGUGGGUAGCAAACAGG